rnacentral:lncRNA from 1 species
GCUCGGGAUAGUUUGGCUCUGGUUCCGUGAUAAAGUUCAAUUCUUUAAAUCAGGAUGGAUUUAUCUAAAAUACUUGAGGUCGGAAUUAUGUUGUAUACUUUACUGGUUGGGACAACUCUAAGUUUCGUAAGUCAAGGCUAGCAUCUGCGUGUUGAGUAAAAAAUAUGCAUGCAUAAAUAAAGUGCAUGCAAAUGGCAGGAAGGAUAAUCUCUUUCCAUUCAAAUAUUUAUAGAAAAAA